rnacentral:rRNA from 1 species
UACGGGGGGGGGUAAGCGUUGUUCGGAAUUACUGGGCGUAAAGGGCUCGUAGGUGGCCAACUAAGUCAGACGUGAAAUCCCUCAGCUUAACUGGGGAACUGCGUCUGAUACUGGAUGGCUUGAGUUUGGGAGAGGGAUGCGGAAUUCCAGGUGUAGCGGUGAAAUGCGUAGAUAUCUGGAGGAACACCGGUGGCGAAGGCGGCAUCCUGGACCAACACUGACACUGAGGAGCGAAAGCCAGGGGAGCAAACGGG